UACGUAGGGGGCAAGCGUUGUUCGGAAUUAUUGGGCGUAAAGGGCGCGUAGGCGGCUAGAUGUGUCAAAGGUGAAAUCCCUCGGCUCAACUGAGGAACUGCCUUUGAAACUGUCUGGCUUGAGGCCGGGAGAGGGUAGCGGAAUUCCCAGUGUAGCGGUGAAAUGCGUAGAUAUUGGGAGGAACACCAGUGGCGAAGGCGGGUCUCUGGGCCGAUACUGACGCUGAGGAGCGAAAGCGUGGGGAGCGAACAGG
rnacentral:rRNA from 1 species